rnacentral:rRNA from 1 species
AUGGCUCAGGAUGAACGCUAGCGGCAGGCUUAACACAUGCAAGUCGAGGGGCAGCGUGAUGAAGUAGCAAUACGGAUUUGACGGCGACCGGCGCACGGGUGCGUAAUGCGUAUGUAACCUACCUUUAACAGGGGGAUAACGUUUGGAAACGAACGCUAAUACCGCAUGAUAUAACGUAAUCGCAUGAUUGUGUUAUCAAAGGAGCAAUCCGCUGAAAGAUGGGCUCGCGUCCGAUUAGGUAGUUGGUGGGGUAACGGCCUACCAAGCCGACGAUCGGUAGCCGGACUGAGAGGUUGAACGGCCACAUUGGGACUGAGACACGGCCCAGACUCCUACGGGAGGCAGCAGUGGGGAAUAUUGCACAAUGGGGGAAACCCUGAUGCAGCAACGCCGCGUGAGGGAAGACGGUUUUCGGAUUGUAAACCUCUGUCCUCUGUGAAGAAGAAAGUGACGGUAGCAGAGGAGGAAGCCACGGCUAACUACGUG